GAUGAACGCUAGCGGCAGGCCUAAUACAUGCAAGUCGAGGGGCAGCACGAUCUUCGGAUUGGUGGCGACCGGCGCACGGGUGCGUAACGCGUAUGCAACCUACCUUAUACUGAGGGAUAGCCCGGAGAAAUUCGGAUUAAUACCUCAUGGUACGACGAAAAGGCAUCUUUUUGUUUUUAAAGAUUUAUCGGUAUAAGAUGGGCAUGCGUGACAUUAGUUAGUUGGUGAGGUAACGGCUCACCAAGGCGACGAUGUCUAGGGGUUCUGAGAGGAUGAUCCCCCACACUGGCACUGAGAUACGGGCCAGACUCCUACGGGAGGCAGCAGUAGGGAAUAUUGGUCAAUGGGCGAGAGCCUGAACCAGCCAUGCCGCGUGCAGGAAGACGGCCUUCUGGGUUGUAAACUGCUUUUAUCAGGGAACAAAAAGCCCAUGCGUGGGAAAUUGCGUGUACCUGAAGAAUAAGCACCGGCUAACUCCG
rnacentral:rRNA from 1 species